UUUUAUCUGUAACUUGACUGACCUUGGUUUUCCUUAUUUUUGCUCUUCACAUUCAGAUUUCGGAAAUGUGCAUGGAAGGCUCCUUCUGCUUCUUCUUCAUCCUCAGGAAAGAAUUUCUUCUCAUGUGCCUCAAGAGAUCCAACCAGCUCAGCAUAGAGCCCUCAUCUGAUUUGCUACAGCCUGAAUCCUAUCAGAGAGUGCUCUAGCAGCUUCCAUGCUUGAUGUGCUGAGGUUGCUGAGAGAAUCUUGUCAAACACCACAUCUGCCACUCCAUGUUGAAGAAUUUGAAGAGCAGCAGUAUCCUUAGCUUUGAGUGCCUUCAAGUUUGCAGCUUCUUUGGUCUUGUCUGCUCCUGGAGUCUAUGGUGACUGAGAUCCCGGAUCUGGAACUCCAUCUUUUACUACCUCCCACAGAUCUUUGUUCAUCAGGGUUGUUUUCAUUCUUGCUGCCCAGAACUCAUAGUUCUGUCCAUCAAAAACAGCAACAAGUUGUGAAGAUUGCAAGGCUCCAAGAUCAAGUGUGCUCUGAUACCAUGUUGCAAUUCUCAAAUUUUACUCAGAUUUCGGAAAUGUGCAUGGAAGGCUCCUUCUGCUUCUUCUUCAUCCUCAGGAAAGAAUUUCUUCUCAUGUGCCUCAAGAGAUCCAACCAGCUCAGCAUAGUUUGAUUUUCCUUCACCUAGAGCCCUCAUCUGAUUUGCUACAGCCUGAAUCCUAUCAGAGAGUGCUCUAGCAGCUUCCAUGCUUGAUGUGCUGAGGUUGCUGAGAGAAUCUUGUCAAACACCACAUCUGCCACUCCAUGUUGAAGAAUUUGAAGAGCAGCAGUAUCCUUAGCUUUGAGUGCCUUCAAGUUUGCAGCUUCUUUGGUCUUGUCUGCUCCUGGAGUCUCUGGUGACUGAGAUCCCGGAUCUGGAACUCCAUCUUUUACUACCUCCCACAGAUCUUUGUUCAUCAGGGUUGUUUUCAUUCUUGCUGCCCAGAACUCAUAGUUCUGUCCAUCAAAAACAGCAACAAGUUGUGAAGAUUGCAAGGCUCCAAGAUCAAGUGUGCUCUGAUACCAUGUUGCAAUUCUCAAAUUUUACUCAGAUUUCGGAAAUGUGCAUGGAAGGCUCCUUCUGCUUCUUCUUCAUCCUCAGGAAAGAAUUUCUUCUCAUGUGCCUCAAGAGAUCCAACCAGCUCAGCAUAGAGCCCUCAUCUGAUUUGCUACAGCCUGAAUCCUAUCAGAGAGUGCUCUAGCAGCUUCCAUGCUUGAUGUGCUGAGGUUGCUGAGAGAAUCUUGUCAAACACCACAUCUGCCACUCCAUGUUGAAGAAUUUGAAGAGCAGCAGUAUCCUUAGCUUUGAGUGCCUUCAAGUUUGCAGCUUCUUUGGUCUUGUCUGCUCCUGGAGUCUAUGGUGACUGAGAUCCCGGAUCUGGAACUCUAUCUUUUACUACCUCCCACAGAUCUUUGUUCAUCAGGGUUGUUUUCAUUCUUGCUGCCCAGAACUCAUAGUUCUGUCCAUCAAAAACAGCAACAAGUUGUGAAGAUUGCAAGGCUCCAAGAUCAAGUGUACUCUGAUACCAUGUUGCAAUUCUCAAAUUUUACUCAGGUUUUCUUAAACUCUCUCUUUCUUUUUUAAGAUUUUUCAUUCAUACUUCCAUUUAUUACAAGGACACACACAUACACAUACUUAUACAAGUUUUCUUUCACUAGCUAGUAGCUACUCACUUACCCUUACUCUCUCAUCUUACUUCUACAAUCUAGAUUCACUUACACAAGCAAUCCACUCCAUCAUUAGACUCCAACCACUC